rfam:Xenopus laevis strain J chromosome 3S, whole genome shotgun sequence.
AGGAGGCUGGUUUCAUGUGGUGGUUUAGAUUUAGCUGACAAUGUCUAGCACCAUAUGAAAUCAGUGUCCU